AAGGCUUUAGCUUAAUUAAAGUAUCUGCUUUGCAUGCAGGAGAUGUGGGUUAGUACCCCGCAAGCCUUA
rnacentral:tRNA from 1 species